CCUACGGGAGGCAGCAGUGGGGAAUUUUGGACAAUGGGCGCAAGCCUGAUCCAGCCAUGCCGCGUGCGGGAAGAAGGCCUUCGGGUUGUAAACCGCUUUUGUCAGGGAAGAAACGCUCUGGGCUAAUACCCUAGGGUAAUGACGGUACCUGAAGAAUAAGCACCGGCUAACUACGUGCCAGCAGCCGCGGUAAUACGUAGGGUGCAAGCGUUAAUCGGAAUUACUGGGCGUAAAGCGUGCGCAGGCGGCUAUGCAAGGCAGAUGUGAAAUCCCCGGGCUCAACCUGGGAACUGCAUUUGUGACUGCAUAGCUAGAGUGCGGUAGAGGGGGAUGGAAUUCCGCGUGUAGCAGUGAAAUGCGUAGAUAUGCGGAGGAACACCGAUGGCGAAGGCAAUCCCCUGGACCUGUACUGACGCUCAUGCACGAAAGCGUGGGGAGCAAACAGGAUUAGAUACCCUGGUAGUCCACGCCCUAAACGAUGUCAACUGGUUGUUGGGAGGGUUUCUUCUCAGUAACGUAGCUAACGCGUGAAGUUGACCGCCUGGGGAGUACGGCCGCAAGGUUGAAACGUCAAAGAGUAGUAGGCGUGAGAGAGCGACGACGACGACGAGGGAGGAGGAG
rnacentral:rRNA from 1 species